rnacentral:rRNA from 1 species
UUUGGUGCCUUCGGAACUCUGACACAGGUGCUGCAUGGCUGUCGUCAGCUCGUGUCGUGAAAUGUUCGGGUUUAAAGUCCCCGUAACGAGCGCAACCCUUGUCCUUAGUUACCAGCACGUUAUGGUGGGCACUCUAAGGAGACUGCCGGUGACAAACCGGAGGAAGGUGGGGAUGACGUCAAGUCAUCAUGGCCCUUACGGCCUGGGCUACACACGUGCUACAAUGGUCGGUACAAAGGGUUGCCAAGCCGCGAGGUGGAGCUAAUCCCAUAAACCGAUCGUAGUCCGGAUCGCAGUCUGCAACUCGACUGCGUGAAGUCGGAAUCGCUAGUAAUCGUGAAUCAGAAUGUCACGGUGAAUACGUUCCCGGGCCUU